rnacentral:rRNA from 1 species
GUCUAUGGCCUUACCACCCUGAACGCACACGGUCUCAUCUGAUCUCGGAAGCUAAGCAGGGGCAGGCCUGGUUAGUACUUGGAUGGGAGAAAGAAGUAAUAAUGCUGUAUAUA